rnacentral:lncRNA from 10 species
CCGCUGUUAAAAUGUCAGCAGCCAAGGAAGAAGCAGCGACCUGGCGUCUGCUCGGGCCAGGAUGAAGCCCCACUCGCCCUUCAGGAUGCAAAGCCCUCCUCUAUAAAGUGCAUGCGGGGCCAGAUGCAGUGGCUCACGUCUGACCUCCCAACACUUUGGGAGGCCGAGGCAGGGGGAUCGUUUGAGACCAGCCUGGACAACAUUGUGAGACCCUGUUCCUUGAAUUGCCCUGGGAGAUUUCCUCAGCUUGUACUGGAGGUGUGUGGCCCCAUGAAGCCCAUAGUCACCGUUCACCCUGAGAGACGCUGGCUUUGGGGCUGACACACCUGCUGCGGGGCAGCCCCAGGAGAUGGCCACCCUGUUUCUCCUGGAGCUGGAGCUGCG